rnacentral:rRNA from 1 species
UACGUAGGGUGCGAGCGUUGUCCGGAAUUAUUGGGCGUAAAGAGCUCGUAGGCGGUUCGUCGCGUCGGCUGUGAAAACCUGAGGCUCAACCUCAGGCCUGCAGUCGAUACGGGCGGACUUGAGUACUGCAGGGGAGACUGGAAUUCCUGGUGUAGCGGUGAAAUGCGCAGAUAUCAGGAGGAACACCGGUGGCGAAGGCGGGUCUCUGGGCAGUAACUGACGCUGAGGAGCGAAAGCGUGGGGAGCGAACAGG